rnacentral:rRNA from 1 species
UAAUUUUUAUUUUUUUUUAUUUUUAGUUUUAUUAAAUUAAAAAAAAUAAUUUUAUUUUUAGUAUAUUUAAGAAUUAACAGAUUUAUUAUUUAUUACUGUGAAGGAAUAUAUUAAUUUGAUUAAAAUUAAUUAUUUUUAAUGUACCUUUUGUAUCAGGGUUUAUUAAAUUUUACAAUUUAUAUUUUGUUUUCUCGAAAUUUUAAGAUUUAUAUUAAUAUGUUGAUUUAUGUGAUAAUAUGUUUAAUAAUAUUAAUAUAGUGAAUAUAUUUUAUUCAAUUAAAAAUAUCUAGUUUUCUGAUAAUUGGAUUUAAUCCAUAAGUAAAUAUAUAUUUACUUUUAUUUUUAUUUAUUUAUAUUUAAAAAAGGAUAAGCUUUUUUAAAUUUCUAAAAAUUGAAUUUUUUUAUAUUUAUUGUAGGAUUAAUAAUAUUCAUCUUUUAUUUUGUAAAAAUUAUUUUUAUAGUUUUUUUUAUUUGUUAAUUUUUUUUUUAGAUAUUUAUUAGAAUAAGGAAUAUAAUUUUUAAGUUUUUAAAAAAAUGAUAAAAUUAGUAUAUUUUUUAAAUAAAUUAUAGUAAUUCGGCAAAUAUAAUUUUCACCUGUUUAACAAAAACAUGGUUUUUUGUUUAUAUAAAAAAUUUGGCCUGCCCAAUGAUUAUUUUAAUGGCUGCAGUAUUUUGACUGUACAAAGGUAGCAUAAUCAUUUGUCUUUUAAUUGAAGUCUGGUAUGAAUGGUUAGAUGAAAAAUUUACUUUCUUUAUUUUAAAAAUAAAAUUUAAUUUCUAAAUUAAAAAGUUUAGAUGAAUUUGGAGGACGAGAAGACCCUAUAGAACUUAACUCCCCUUAAUUUAAUUAUUUACUUGUAAAUAAUUUUUUAUUAUUUUUAAGGGGAGUUUUAUUGGGGUGAUAAAAAAAAUUUUUUAACUUUUUUUAUUUUUUUCAUUUAUUUAUGAUUUUUUGAUCCUUUAUUAUGGAUAAUAAGAUUAAGUUACCUUAGGGAUAACAGCGUUAUUAUUUUAGAGAGUUCAUAUUGAUAAAAUAGUUUGCGACCUCGAUGUUGGAUUAAAAUUAGUGUCAGGGGUAUAAUAUUGAUUACUAGGUCUGUUCGACCUUUAAAUUUUUACAUGAUCUGAGUUCAGACCGGCGUGAGCCAGGUCGGUUUCUAUCCUUAAAUUUAUUAGAAGAGUUUAGUACGAAAGGACCAAUUUUUUGGAAAAUUUUUUAUUAUUUUGAUUUAUUUU